GGGCUUGUGGUUUAGUGGUAUAAUUUUCCCUUAGCAUGUCUACGAAGCUCUUGGACAUCGUUGGGAAAGGUCCUGGGUUCGAUUCCCAGCAAGUCCA